ensembl:lncRNA
UUUUGUCUGUGGCCUCAUCUAGUUCUGUCCCCUUCUCACAGUACCCCAGCCACAUUGGUCUUUCAGUUCUUCCUUCCAGCCUAAUUCCUUCUUGCCUCAGAGUCCUUUUAAGUUUUCCCUCUGUUCAAGAGACUUCUCCCUGUUUCCCACCCAAAAACUAUUCGUUCUUCAGAAUGUCUCUCAAACAUCACUUCUUCAUCGUAGGCUUUCCUAAUCUCCCACAGUGCUAUGCUCACGUCUGUAGGCUGGACUUCUUCACAGCACAUAUCCUGGCUGUAGUGCUGUGAUCCCAUAGAAGAAAACUUCCCAAAGGCAGGACUACAGUGUUAUACUGACACCUUGAACCUCUGUCAUUUAGUACAGCACCUAACACAAAGCUUAUUUAGUUACUGAUUUCAUGAAUAGUAAGAUUGUAUAUGGCAGUUUUUUAUAUUUUAAGUAAGAUAUAUUUUAAAAUAAAAUGUAUACACUUUAUAUUUCAAAGUAGGUGUUAAUCUUUUCCCAAUUUUUGUUUUUAGAUGUUAAAGAAGAAGAUAAGUCCAAGGACAAUAGUGGUGAAAAAACAGAUACCAAAGGAGCCAAAUCAGAACAGCUCAGCAACCCUUGAAUUUGAGAGUCUCAUCACUUUCAGUGAGGAAAUAUUGGGAAGAAAAAUGUUUUCUUUUUGAAGACUUCUGGCUUCAUUUUAUACUACUUUGGCAUGGACUGUAUUUAUUUUCAAAAUGGCUUUUUUCGGUUUUGUUUUUCUUGGCAAGUUUUAUUGUGAGUUUUCUAAUUAUGAAGCAAAAUUUCUUUUCUCCACCAUGCUUUAUGUGAUAGUAUUUAAAACUGAUGUGUUAUUAUGUCAAAAAACUGCUCUAUUAAAGAAGUAAUUGGCCGUUCUGAGCUGAUUUUUCCAUCUUUUGUAAUUAUCUUUAUUAAAAAAUUGUACUUGGAUUGUCUUUUGUCUGUUUAUUACAUCAUGGAGUCUUUUUUCAUAGGCUAAUGACAUGACUGUUUCUGUAGCAAUAGAAUACACUAGAGGUGGAAGAUACUGAUUUGCAACUUCAAAGACAUCCAUAAACUAUUUCUUGAGGAAAUUACUGUAUUUACAGUAAUUAUUAUUUCUUAAUGUAAUAGGAGUUCUUCAGUCUUGUCCUCUAUAGGUUAACCAGUCAAUGUUGGUGAAGAUUGAUAUCUCAUUAUCAUAAUUUAUCUCUGAAAUUAAUGAUACAAGCUAUGCAAUUGAGAUAUAGGAAUUAUCUUUGAGCUGAACCAAAGAUUCUCAAAAACUGGAAAUGGAGAUUCUGAGUUGAAAGAAGAAAUCAAUAAUCAGAAAAGGAAACUAUAGCUUCCAUACUGAGCUACAUGUGACUCUUUUGCCAACCCCCACAAUAAACCAAGUAGACAAGAAAUUGUAUGGUUGUGUUUUACCAGAACUUUCCUGUGUUUAUAUUAAGGCUAAAAUAAAACCUGCUGUUUAGACAAAACCUGGUUCUUGUACUGCAUUUACAUGGUAUCCAGGUUCCACAAUUUACACCCAGGUUUCCAAAUCAAGGAAAUCAACACUUAAAAGUCAUUUAUGGUUCAAUUUAUUGAGUGUCUACCCAUUAAAGCUUUGAGUAUGCAUCUGAACAUAAAGGGGAAAAUGCCUGCUCCUAUAGCUUACAUUCUAGCGGUAGAAAGCAGACAAAUGGGGUAAUUUCUACUAAAAUAUGCAAAGGAGAAAGUAAAACAUUUUAGAAACUUGCCAAAAUCAGUGAAAUCUCUCUUUUCACAAAGCCCAAAUUGAUUAUUUUGAGAUAAAAAUUAUAGAAUGCUAGACAACAGGCCAGUCAAAAAUGUUUCUUUAAAAGCCUGUGUUAAGAAAUACUUCAGACAUUCACAAAAGCACCUGGACUUUUGUAAUGAGCAGCCAUUCUCCCACCUGUAUUUAACAGAUGUUUCACUUUAGCCAUAUUUGGUUCAAGCGUUUUCUUUUUUCUUUAAAUAAAUUACACAGAAGUAGAAGCCCUCCUUACCACUUUGCCAUUUAAUUUCCCUCCCACUCUUCAGAAGUAACCAUAUCUCAUCCAUGUUUUCACUCUUGCUGCAUAUCUGUCAGCAUAUAAACCCUUA